GGUCUGACUGAAGAUUUGCACUCAGACUGAUGUGCAGUCACAGUAGACCCAUCCUGAUGACCUGUGAUGACACUUAACUGUGCACAGGGGCCAUCUGAAUUAGG